rnacentral:rRNA from 1 species
AAAUUGAAGAGUUUGAUCAUGGCUCAGAUUGAACGCUGGCGGCAGGCCUAACACAUGCAAGUCGAACGGUAACAGGAAGCAGCUUGCUGCUUUGCUGACGAGUGGCGGACGGGUGAGUAAUGUCUGGGAAACUGCCUGAUGGAGGGGGAUAACUACUGGAAACGGUGGCUAAUACCGCAUAACGUCGCAAGACCAAAGAGGGGGACCUUCGGGCCUCUUGCCAUCAGAUGUGCCCAGAUGGGAUUAGCUUGUUGGUGAGGUAACGGCUCACCAAGGCGACGAUCCCUAGCUGGUCUGAGAGGAUGACCAGCCACACUGGAACUGAGAUACGGUCCAGACUCCUACGGGAGGCAGCAGUGGGGAAUAUUGCACAAUGGGCGCAAGCCUGAUGCAGCCAUGCCGCGUGUAUGAAGAAGGCCUUCGGGUUGUAAAGUACUUUCAGCGGGGAGGAAGGUGUUG